GACGAACGCUGGCGGCGUGCUUAACACAUGCAAGUCGAACGGAGUGGCGAACGGGUGAGUAACACGUGGGUGACCUGCCCUGCACUUCGGGAUAAGCCUGGGAAACUGGGUCUAAUCCCGGUAGGUGGGGGAUGGGCCGGGGGCCUAUCAGUUUGUUGGGGGGGUAAUGGCCUACCAAGGCGGGGACGGGUAGCCGGCCUGGGAGGGUGGACGGCCACAUUGGGACUGAGACACGGCCCAGACUCCUACGGGAGGCAGCAGUGGGGAAUAUUGCACAAUGGGCGGAAGCCUGAUGCAGCGACGCCGCGUGGGGGAUGACGGCCUUCGGGUUGUAAACUCCUUUCACCAUCGACGCGGUAGAUGGAGAAGAAGCACCGGCUAACUACGUGCCAGCAGCCGCGGUAAUAC
rnacentral:rRNA from 1 species